rnacentral:miRNA from 1 species
UAACACGAACCGGUGCUAAAGGAUC